GGGCCUGUAGCUCAGUUGGGAGAGCGUUCGGUUCGCAUCCGAGAGGUCGAGGGUUCGAAUCCCUUUGGGUCCACCA
rnacentral:tRNA from 1 species